rnacentral:rRNA from 1 species
AACGAACGCUGGCGGCAUGCCUAACACAUGCAAGUCGAACGAGACCUUCGGGUCUAGUGGCGCACGGGUGCGUAACGCGUGGGAACCUGCCCUUAGGUUCGGAAUAACUCCCCGAAAGGGGUGCUAAUACCGGAUAAUGUCUUCGGACCAAAGAUUUAUCGCCUUUGGAUGGGCCCGCGUUGGAUUAGCUAGUUGGUAGGGUAAAAGCCUACCAAGGCGACGAUCCAUAGCUGGUCUGAGAGGAUGAUCAGCCACACUGGGACUGAGACACGGCCCAGACUCCUACGGAAGGCAGCAGUGGGGAAUAUUGGACAAUGGGCGAAAGCCUGAUCCAGCAAUGCCGCGUGAGUGAUGAAGGCCUUAGGGUUGUAAAGCUCUUUUACCCGGGAUGAUAAUGACAGUACCGGGAGAAUAAGCUCCGGCUAACUCCGU